GAUGAACGCUGGCGGCGUGCCUAAUACAUGCAAGUCGAGCGAACAGACGAGGAGCUUGCUCCUCUGACGUUAGCGGCGGACGGGUGAGUAACACGUGGAUAACCUACCUAUAAGACUGGGAUAACUUCGGGAAACCGGAGCUAAUACCGGAUAAUAUAUUGAACCGCAUGGUUCAAUAGUGAAAGACGGUUUUGCUGUCACUUAUAGAUGGAUCCGCGCCGCAUUAGCUAGUUGGUAAGGUAACGGCUUACCAAGGCAACGAUGCGUAGCCGACCUGAGAGGGUGAUCGGCCCCACUGGAACUGAGACACGGUCCAGACUCCUACGGGAGGCAGCAGUAGGGAAUCUUCCGCAAGGGGCGAAAGCCUGACGGAGCAACGCCGCGUGAGUAAUGAAGGUCUUCGGAUCGUAAUACUCUGUUAUUAGGGAAGAACAAAUGUGUAAGUAACUAUGCACGUCUGGACGGUACCUAAUCAGAAAGCCACGGCUAACUACGU
rnacentral:rRNA from 1 species